UAGGUACUCCCUCCAUUCCAAAUUACUUGUCGCAGAAAUGGAUGUAUCUAGAACUAAAAUACAUCUAGAUACAUCCAUAUCUAUGACAAGUAAUUCGGAACGGAGGGAGUAGUAA
rnacentral:pre_miRNA from 1 species